UUGAGCAGUUGGUCCGGACGCGUUAGCUAGCUAAGCGGCUAAGUUAGCUAGCUAGCGGGCUAAUUAACACAGGUGGCUAACUUACCGCUGAACACCUGUGUUAGGCCUUGUCCACACGUAGCAGGGUUUUUGUAAAACCGAAUAUCCUGCCCCCUCCGUCUAGAAAAAAACUUACGUACACACCACCUCGUUUUUAGAAAAAAACUUCAUCCACACCUAACCGCAUAAGUGCGUUUUUCAGCACAUUCAUAAGCAUGCCGCGGACCUUUAGGUGGCAGUAGUUCCCCAAAUCCUAGCAAGGUGGUGGAGAAUAACCGUCCUUAACGUCGUCCUUCGCCUGUGUUGUUGAAUGUGGAGCAGUAUCUGGGCUUAUAAAAACAAGCAAGUAAAAAGCGCCUGUACAAGAAACAGCGCCCAAAACCUUGUGAGAGCAUCCAUACUAUUACCGAAUGUAAACACAGGUCGCAUAUGUGACGUAGGAACAUAUUUUGUCGCAGGCGGUGACGUUUCGAAACGCAAAACCCCGGUUACUGAUGUCCACAUGCAGACGCAUAAAACGGAGAAUUCGCAAAUCUUCACUUUGGUCGGAGUUUUUAAAAAGAAUCGUUUUUGAUGACGUAAAUCUGCGUUUUCGUGUGGAUGAUAGGCCGAAUCGUAGAAAAAUAUCUUCGUUUUGUGAGAUACCCGGCUACGUGUGGACAAGGGCGGAGUUGCUGCCGCAGCUGUCCUCAUUGUUAGAAUGACCUUCUCAGCCUGUAUUUCUCUGCUGUGUAUUUUAGCUUUUAAAAAAGUUAUUUUACUUUAAGGUUAACUCAAACCCGUUGAGCUGCACUGAAGUUUAACAUUCAGCUGGUUUGAAUUAAACCGCACUUAACAUUGCGCAACAUUACCUCUCUGAAUCUCCAUAAUUUCAUUAAAUUCCUUCUCUCUUCCACUGCUCAAGUUCAAUCCAGUAUAUAAAAUGACAUUAAUAGUGAAUAAACUAACAACCAGCCAUUGGAUUUAUUUAUUACUGUACGUGUUUGUAGUAAAACAUGAGUUGAAACAUCCUACUUUUGGAUCUAGAACUGCACAAGCCGUUCAUUUUCAGUCACCUGACGAGUUAAACUCCCCUUUUUAUGUGAGGUUGAAGCAGAAAGUCUGAGUUAACAAAGAAAGUUCUUUAUAAUUUGCGAUACCUGUUAUCUCUGACUGAGGCUUUAGUUUUUGUUGAGCUGAUUUACACGUAGAAACUUUGUUCAGGAAAAUUUCUCAGUAGCUCAGAGGACAGGCUGCUUUUUACACAACCUUGUAAGAGAAUGUCUGUCAAUGCUUUCAGCAGAAUUUAGAAACACAACACUUCCUAAACAGAUAUUUUGAGGCUGUGAGGUUGAACGUUUGAGAGUAUAUCAGUGUGUUUGUUUGUGGUCUUUCUGUUUCUAGGUGGAAGCUGAAUUAGUGAGGAUGACUCCUGCUCCUGUCAUCUCUAAGGUCCUCACACAUCUUUACCUGCACAUGAGGAAAAUUACUCCUGUAGAAUGCAGAUGUUCAGAGGGAGAUGAUGCCACAUCUGGUCCAGCUGAUGGAAGGUCUUGAAGUUCUCUGACUGGCCUCGACUGAAGAUGGUCGUCUCACUGGAUUUAAGGUUCAGAUGCUCAGUAACAAACUCCACCAAUGAGCCAACAGGGAAGCUUUAGGUUUAUUAAAUGCUGCUAUGAAGGUUUCGCUGUUUUUCUUUGUGAAUGCAAUGUGCUCCAACUGAAAGUUGAAUUAGAACUUAGAAGUAAAUCCUUCCAUCUGAAAGGAUUUAGUUGCAUUAAUAACCUCAUAACAUUCUAAUUUUUAUUCCAGUCUUAGUUGGAAAUAGAAUCUCUGUAUUGUUUCAGGUAAAAACUGAACUUCACAGCAUGUUGAAGCAAAACAACCAGAUGAAAACUGUGAUGGUGUUGGAUUGUCAGACCGUAAUGUUGCAGCUCAAAGCAGCUUUUCUAUCUCAGUUCAUUCUGACAUUCAGCUAUGAAUCAACACAGCAGAUGGUGAUCCAUGCUGUGGAAGUCUCACAUCUCCUGAUUUAAUGGAGCUGCUUUGUACUUUUUACACAGUUUAUUCACCAACACUUUAUUUAAUAAAAGUCCCAUCUAGUUUUUAUGAGGAAUGUGAUGUUUUAAUUUCUCUGUGAAUAACUGCAGUCUAAUGCAACAGCUGGAGUUGUAACAUCUGUCCUGAUAUUGAUCAUGAAGUAUUGAUCAGAAUACUUAUGGUCAGCAGUCAUCCCUGAAGUUUUACAUUAAAAUCUUUACUUGUGUUGUGAACUUUGGUAAGAAGCAGAAACGUUAGCGUUGCCAUGGAUAUAUGAGUGUUAAAUUCUGUCCAUGUUUCAUUUUGGGAAAUGCAGUCCAGUUCCAGAAUGUAGAGGAAUUUAGUCUCACAAUCACAGACAACAAAUAUUAUCUGAAAGUCGGGUUAUUGUUGUUUAUCAGCACAAUACAAAAAGAUUAAUGUUAGAAAUAUUCCAGUUAAGACUCUAGAAUAUCAUGAUUUAUGUAAAUUUACCUCAAUAAUAUGAAUGUUCAGGUUAAGAUUGUGCAGUGAUAUUUAUUAUGCAAGUUUAGCUGAUUAAAGUUUAUGACUGCACUAAAAUAUUAUUUAAAUUGACAUCAUUAUUAUAAUAUUUAGGGUCAGACCCUACAGUAUUGAGGUUAAAAAAUCAAAUAUUCUAUAAAAUGUAAAUACACUGAACUCAUUUGGAUAUAUUUAAGUGAGACUCUACAGCAUUAUUUGACACAAAUCUAUCUAAAUCAAAAUUUUAAUAAUUUUCACGCCAAACAUUUACUGGACUGAUUUAAAUAUUAAAAUCACUCCUUUCUAAUCCUCUGCUGUACGUUCAAACCUGAGGCCUGAAAUAGAAACACACAAGUAUCUGAUUGAAGGAACUUCUGCAGAGUCCUGGUUCCAGAACAUGAUGAUAGAAUUAUAGACAAACUUUAACAAAAGCUGCCUCAGAGUUUACAGGUUUUUAUGUUGGAUUUCUUCAGUAAUUUAAUGAGCGUAAUCAGCAAUAAUCAAGUGUUCAUUUGAUGAACUUCAUUUCCUAAAACAUCCAGAAUAGGAGCUCAUAUCUUUGGCAGCUGUAAAGUUUCUGCUCCUUCAAAGUUCACAACACAAUGAAUGAAUUCCUAAAACACUCUCAACGCUGGAGAGCGUUUGUGAUGCUGAAGCAGUGACCAGUUUUUCUGUUUCUUCUCUGGAGAUGCACAAUGAGGGACGUCUGCAGAGACUGAGAAAGAGUCUCACCACAUCCUGACAUGAGGAAAAAGACUUUAUUGAAGACUACAAUGAGAAAAACUAUCAGACAGCAGACGGCUGCAUUCAAGAGAGGAAGACCAUCAAACAUCCACGUCAGCUGAUGGAGGUCCAAGAGUCUCACCUAACAACCAACCUACAGAGUGAAGACCUCAAAUCUGAUUGGACCGCCUCCUAUUCAGCCACAUGUGUGAACAAAUGCCUCUAAGUUGAUUUGUUUUCUAAAAUAAAUCUAGUUUGAG